GUAAGGCAUCCAGCCCUGCUAAAGCUAGAAACUUACUUUAACCAGUUCUCUUGCCCCCCUCCCUGUUAUUUUGUAAAUACUACAUUUUCUCAGCAUUUAAUGAGAUUGCAAUGCAUUCUGGUGUACUUUUUUGAGUCAUUUCUCUUUCUACUCAAAACAGAGAAACCCCAUUUCCUGACUUGCUGAAGAUUUAUCAUCUGAACAUUGCUGAGAAAUUUCCACGGAGGUAAGUCUCUCCCCUUUUAUAUAUAGAAGAGAUAGCUCCAUGAAACCCACAAGAACAUAGGGGAUCAGUGUGGUUCUUCCCAGUGGCUGGUGGGGAGAGCACAGAUUGUUCAACUGCCAGCAGGGCAGUGAACCUGCUGCAACAGGUUCUGAUACCGCAUUCAGGAUGAUGACAGCAUCUUUCUUUCUCCAUUCCUCGAGCUUGAGGUAAGAAAACAUGAGCUUUGAUUAGUGCAGGUUAUAAAAUUAGCUUUCUAAGUAUAAGUGUCAAUAAAUGGAAAACAAGAAGGCUUCAGUAGCCUGGGCUGGGCGGUGCAGGGGAAUCUGGUGGCUGGACUGAGUAAAAGACAGGUUAGUGAUAUAAAAAAUUACUGUGAUAUAAUAUUCAGUGAAAAAUGCAUUUGAACAAGUAGCUUCAUCAUCUGGUCUUAUUUUAACAUUAGACAGCAUGAGAACUAGUGGACAUGUGCAGUACAACGUUCCUAAGAAUCACAAAUACAGUUAUUCAAAUACUUCCUGUUUCAAUAUGCAUAUGUAACUCUUUCUUUCUCUCCCCUUCAAAAAAGGGAGUAAGAAUAGUAUUUAGUCACUGAUAGAAACUUUUUGUCAUCAUGAAAGUUAUUCUUUUUAUAGGCUAAAUUUUAUUUAUUUUUGUUUUUAUUUUGUUGUCAUAAAAUAUAGGGAGUAUGAAGGUCAGUUACAUACAAUCAUUUCUGUUGUCCACUUGGUUUACUUUUAGGAUAUUUUAAAGGCUUUCUGUAUCCUCUGGCAUAGGACUCCGUGUGUACUCAAACUUUGUAAUUCAAAUGUCAAUUUGAGAUUUGUACCUGAAUUAGACCUGUGUUGCUAAGUUUCUCAGUUAUACUACUCAAACUUUCCAAAUUUUUCCAGAUCUUUUUACCCUACUCAGUAGUGACUACACUGUCAUAUUAACUGUAAACCUGUGGGUUCUCCUUUUUAUCUUUUUAAAAAAAGUACAGAUUUGUGUGCUCUCACAGAUAUUGAAUGGAUGUGAUGUAUAUGUAUGUGUAUGGAUACGUGUACUUGUGUGAAGAUAUAUUCCAUGUUUCGAUAGAGCUGUGAAAUAAGGACAAAGAAUUGCGCUAUUAUUAACUGAUAAAUCCAUAGUUAAAACUACCUCCUUCUAAGAUGGGAGGGUUUAACUUUCUGUGGUAUUUAAUAAUAGUUUUGCCUUCCGUUCUAUUAAAGCUCCACUAAUGUAGAUAAAUAGGAUGUUCUUUAGUUUCUAGAGAAUUUAAUUUUAGAUUUCUCCACUGUUGGGGAAUCUUUUAUGAACAACCUAUAGGUAAAUUUCUUAAAUAACAAUUGGC
rnacentral:lncRNA from 1 species